GUUGGGUAGGGGAGCGUUCUGUAAGCCUGCGAAGGUGUACUGUGAGGUAUGCUGGAGGUAUCAGAAGUGCGAAUGCUGACAUAAGUAACGAUAAUGCGGGUGAAAAACCCGCACGCCGGAAGACCAAGGGUUCCUGUCCAACGUUAAUCGGGGCAGGGUGAGUCGACCCCUAAGGCGAGGCUGAAAAGCGUAGUCGAUGGGAAACGGGUUAAUAUUCCCGUACUGGUGGUAACUGCGAUGGGGGAACGGAGAAGGCUAGGUUGUCCGGGCGACGGUCGUCCCGGUUCAAGCAUGUAGGCAGAGUGACUAGGCAAAUCCGGUCACUUAAUGCUGAGGUGUGAUGACGAGCCACUAAGGUGGUGAAGCAAUUGAUGCCCUGCUUCCAGGAAAAGCCUCUAAGCUUCAGGUUACCAACAAUCGUACCCCAAACCGACACAGGUGGUCAGGUAGAGAAUACUCAGGCGCUUGAGAGAACUCGGGUGAAGGAACUAGGCAAAAUGGUGCCGUAACUUCGGGAGAAGGCACGCUGGCGGUAAGUGAAGUCCCUUGCGGACGGAGCCGAAGCCAGUCGAAGAUACCAGCUGGCUGCAACUGUUUAUUAAAAACACAGCACUGUGCAAACACGAAAGUGGACGUAUACGGUGUGACGCCUGCCCGGUGCUGGAAGGUUAAUUGAUGGGGUUAUCCUUAGGGAGAAGCUCUUGAUCGAAGCCCCAGUAAACGGCGGCCGUAACUAUAACGGUCCUAAGGUAGCGAAAUUCCUUGUCGGGUAAGUUCCGACCUGCACGAAUGGCGUAAUGAUGGCCAGGCUGUCUCCACCCGAGACUCAGUGAAAUUGAACUCGCUGUGAAGAUGCAGUGUACCCGCGGCAAGACGGAAAGACCCCGUGAACCUUUACUAUAGCUUGACACUGAACAUUGAGCCUUGAUGUGUAGGAUAGGUGGGAGACUAUGAAGUGUGGACGCCAGUCUGCAUGGAGUCAACCUUGAAAUACCACCCUUUAACGUUUGAUGUUCUAACCUAGGCCCAUAAUCUGGGUCGGGGACCGUGUCUGGUGGGUAGUUUGACUGGGGCGGUCUCCUCCUAAAGAGUAACGGAGGAGCACGAAGGUUGGCUAAGCAUGGUCGGACAUCAUGCGGUUAGUGCAAAGGCAUAAGCCAGCUUGACUGUGAGAGUGACGGCUCGAGCAGGUACGAAAGUAGGUCUUAGUGAUCCGGUGGUUCUGAAUGGAAGGGCCAUCGCUCAACGGAUAAAAGGUACUCCGGGGAUAACAGGCUGAUACCGCCCAAGAGUUCAUAUCGACGGCGGUGUUUGGCACCUCGAUGUCGGCUCAUCACAUCCUGGGGCUGAAGUAGGUCCCAAGGGUAUGGCUGUUCGCCAUUUAAAGUGGUACGCGAGCUGGGUUUAGAACGUCGUGAGACAGUUCGGUCCCUAUCUGCCGUGGGCGUUGGAAGAUUGAGAGGGGUUGCUCCUAGUACGAGAGGACCGGAGUGAACGCACCACUGGUGUUCGGGUUGUCAUGCCAAUGGCAUUGCCCGGUAGCUAAGUGCGGAAGAGAUAACCGCUGAAAGCAUCUAAGCGGGAAACUUGCCUCAAGAUGAGUCUUCCCUGUCACCUUGAGUGACCUAAAGGAACGUUUAAGACUAAGACGUUGAUAGGCUGGGUGUGUAAGCGUAGCGAUACGUUGAGCUAACCAGUACUAAUGAACCGUGAGGCUUAACCUGACAACACC
rnacentral:rRNA from 1 species